rnacentral:rRNA from 1 species
GACGAACGCUGGCGGCGUGCCUAAUACAUGCAAGUCGAGCGGACAGAUGGGAGCUUGCUCCCUGAAGUCAGCGGCGGACGGGUGAGUAACACGUGGGCAACCUGCCUGUAAGACUGGGAUAACUUCGGGAAACCGGAGCUAAUACCAGAUACGUUCUUUUCUCGCAUGAGAGAAGAUGGAAAGAUGGUUUCGGCUAUCACUUACAGAUGGGCCCGCGGCGCAUUAGCUAGUUGGUGAGGUAAUGGCUCACCAAGGCGACGAUGCGUAGCCGACCUGAGAGGGUGAUCGGCCACACUGGGACUGAGAACAGGCCCAGACUCCUACGGGAGGCAGCAGUAGGGAAUCUUCCGCAAUGGACGAAAGUCUGACGGAGCAACGCCGCGUGAACGAUGAAGGCCUUCGGGUCGUAAAGUUCUGUUGUUAGGGAAGAACAAGUACCAGAGUAACUGCUGGUACCUUGACGGUACCUAACCAGAAAGCCACGGCUAACUACGUGCCAGCCGCCGCCGUAACAC